GACAAACCAUAAAGGACAAUUAUAAACAAAUUUAUUUAUACACCGAUUCAUGGUGUGUGGCAAAUGGCAUAGCAGUAUGGUCAGGUAAAUGGAGAAAUAAUGGAUGGAAAAUUAAUGGUAAAGACAUAUGGUCAAAGGCAGCAUGGCAGGAAUUGGAUGCAGCAAGCAGACUAAUCAAAAUCAUAGUAUACCAUGUAGAUGCACAUACCAAGAAACAGGAUGAGACAAGUAAAAACAAUGAAGUAGUAGACAAACUAGCUUCAGCAUUAAGUAUAAAAUUAAAAGGUACAUGGAAGGCAAACAUUGAUCCAGAAACAGGAAAAGGUAAAAUACAGAGAGAAUGGAUACAGGUAAGACCAUCAACUAAGGACAUACCUAUAAGUACAGAAGAGAUACUGAAAAUCCAUGAGCAGUUAGGACAUAUAGGUACACAUGCACUAAAAAGUUGGUUCGAUAAAAGAAAUCUUAAGAUAACAUGGCAGACAAUAAGAAAAGCAAUCAAUAGUUGCAACAAUUGCCCAAAGGCUAUGACAAGAUUAACACACAAUUACCAAGGGAUAAUAGGACACCGAAUGGAUUUUAAUAGAAUCCUACAAAUAGAUUUCAUAGGACCGUUAAACAGCUUCAAGGGAAAAUAUUGCUGUACCCUACCUAGUAGACAUAACGACAGGUCUUGGGAUGGCCCGAGAAAGCACACACCCAGACCAAAACACGACGAUACUUACAGUCUGGGGAUGGUGUGCAGCAUAUGGAACACCAGAUACAAUACAAUCAGACCAAGGAACUCGUUUCGCAGGAGCCAAAACACAAAGAAUGGCUAGAAACUUAAACAUUCAAUGGGACUUCCAUAGAGUCUAUACACCGACAGCAGCCGGAGCAAUAGAAAGAUGGAACGGAAUGAUUAAAAAACAGCUAGAGAUGCAUAAGGGAAUGCCACUGUCAUUAGCAAUAAAAAUAGCAACUUAUGAAUUGAAUACCAGACCCAGAAUAAAUAGGAAGUCACCAAUAGAAGAAGCUAUACAAAAACAACAUACAAUAGAUUAUCCUACAGUUAUAGAUAGAGAAGUAAUAAGGAAUCCUAAUUGCCUUUACAGGAAUCGGAAGAAUAACAAAUUAUCCCCAGCAGAAAUAAUAGCACCAGGAACAGGAAACAACGUGUGGAUAACUCAAGAUGUCUUACAGGAAUCAAGUAACAGGAAAUCCACUUUGGAAUCCAUCAGGCAGACGCUUCGGUUUAGUUAGUAAAAAUGGAAUGAGUAAUUUACUAUAUACCACAUACCAAAAAUAUAUGGAACCAUUGUCUGAUAUUUUCUAUAGAAUAGGUAUAUUAUUUAUGGCAGGAACGAUACAGGGAUGCAAAUACUGCACCCAUAAAUAUGCAAUGUUCUACCUUUCAGAACCAGAUGAGGUAGACAACCUCCCAAUGCUCUUGAUGCACUUAACGUUCCACUUGACAAUAGAAAGAGGUAUACAUGAUAUGAGAUUAAUUGGAGAUGGAUACAUGAGAUAUUAUGGAACCAUGCAAUCUAGUAUAUAUAGGGUGAAUGGAAUGUAUAAAAUACACAGAAAUAACAUGGAUGCAGCCCUACAUAUAAGUGCUGCUUUAGCUGCAGCAUAUGUGGGCCGCGGUAAUCACAGAAUAUAUGAAACAUAUAGAACAUGGCUAAAACAUAAUCCUGAUGAAGCAAUAAUAAGCAUUGAUAAAGAUUUCCUGAAUGACCCACAGUGGGAAACAGGAGAACCAAUGUAUUUACAAAGCAUAUGUACUAGAAUAUUGUGUAGAGAUUUUGUUAUAGAUGUGUUAAAAGAAUUUGCAGCUUAUAGCACUUGGUUGAAGUUAUAUAAUGCAUAUAUAGAGAAAAAACAUAAAAAUAAACCACCCAGAAUGAGAAGGAUAAGAGUGCUAGGAUUAACAAAUUAGGAUAAUAUAUUGUAAAUUCCCAGGCUGCGACCUCAUGUGAUGCCUUUUAUGUUGAAGACAUUUCAGGCAUCAGGGGAUGGAAUGUAAGGAACACAUGUAAGGCCUAGGGUGAACAACCCUGGUCAGGAGUGAUAAGCAAUAGAAUGAUGUAAGUAAACCACAAAUGGAGUAGUGAUAAGCUAUAAGCUAUGUGUGGAAGUAGGGAUAAGACUAGAAACCUAGCCAGAAAAGAAUAUAAAAGAUGAAGCCUCAGACCCGACCAACAGAGCUCGUCAGGCCAUUGCGCGAGACGACUCUCCUCUGCCAGAGAUGUGAGAUCCUGUCCCCAGUGCAGACAUGGCUGACCUGAGGAAGGCUGACCCAAGAUCCAGAGGAACAGACGUGGCGAGUCCGGACCUGUAUACCCGGAGAGGUACUCCUGCUUCCAUUUGGAAGACAGGAUGAAUAUUGCUUAUAAUCUUACUGUGUGAAUAAAUGAGUGUUAUACCAA